UCUUCGGCAAUGGACGAAAGUCUGACCGAGCAACGCCGCGUGAGUGAAGAAGGUUUUCGGAUCGUAAAACUCUGUUGUUAGAGAAGAACAAGGACGAGAGUAAAAAGUUCAUCCCUUGACGGUAUCUAACCAGAAAGCCACGGCUAACUACGCGCCAGCAGCCGCGGUAAUACGUAGGUGGCAAGCGUUGACCGGAUUUAUUGGGCGUAAAGCAAGCGCAGGCGGUUCUUUAAGUCUGAUGUGAAAGCACCCGGCUCAACCGGGGAGGGUCAUUGGAAACUGGGGAACUUGAGUGCAGAAGAGGAGAGUGGAAUUCCAUGUGUAGCGGUGAAAUGAGUAGAUAAAUGGAGGAACACCAGUGGCGAAGGCGGCUCUCUGGUCUGUAACUGACGCUGAGGCUCGAAAGCGUGGGGAGCAAACAGG
rnacentral:rRNA from 1 species